CCUACGGGAGGCAGCAGUGAGGAAUAUUGGUCAAUGGACGAGAGUCUGAACCAGCCAAGUAGCGUGAAGGAUGACUGCCCUAUGGGUUGUAAACUUCUUUUAUAUGGGAAUAAAACGUUCCACGUGUGGGAUUUUGUAUGUACCAUAUGAAUAAGGAUCGGCUAACUACGUGCCAGCAGCCGCGGUAAUACGGAGGAUCCGAGCGUUAUCCGGAUUUAUUGGGUUUAAAGGGAGCGUAGGUGGAUUGUUAAGUCAGUUGUGAAAGUUUGCGGCUCAACCGUAAAAUUGCAGUUGAAACUGGUGUUCUUGAGUGAGCGAGAAGUAUGCGGAAUGCGUGGUGUAGCGGUGAAAUGCAUAGAUAUCACGCAGAACUCCGAUUGCGAAGGCAGCAUACCGGCGCUCAACUGACGCUGAGGCACGAAAGCGUGGGGAUCGAACAGGAUUAGAUACCCGAGUAGUC
rnacentral:rRNA from 1 species